AGCACCUGUGAGGGUGUUCGUUGGCAUGUGGACAAAGAUUUUGAGAUUGAUAAAAACAAAUUCCUCUUUUGCAGCCUAGAGCUCAUUGUUCUGUAUGAGUUCUGAUACAGAUCAGAAGGAACAUG